rnacentral:ncRNA from 1 species
UGGAACUUAGAAUUACUUAAUGUUCUGUGACAUAAACAGAAAUGAUUGAACACGAUGUUCAAUCAAGCCGCCACUGAGCCAUGGAUGGCGAAUUGGCGGCGGUUUCGUACGAAGUGAUGGAGUGUAUCGGAACAUUUAGUAAUUCUUAGUUC